rnacentral:sRNA from 1 species
UGUAAUUCACACCCUAGCUGCUUAAUA